rnacentral:rRNA from 1 species
GGUUGAUCCUGCCAGUAGUCAUAUGCUUGUUUCAAAGAUUAAGCCAUGCAAGUCUAAGUAUAAGUCUUCAUACGACGAAACUGCGAAUAGCUCAUUAGAACACUUAUAAAUAACACGGUGAUUUCUUCUUAUAUGGAUAUCCAUGGUAAUUCUGGAGCUAAUACAUGCAAAGUGCUUUGUUUACAAAGUAUCAACCAUGAUAAGUUCUCUGACUGAGUCUUGUGCUCAUUUGGAUGAUCCGCGUGGUCUUGAGAAUCGCUUUAUGCGAUAUACCGUAUUAGUUUGUGACCUAU